AAAAGAAAAAAGGAAGUGCUUUGGCUUAGUUCUUUCAUCUCUUUUGUUUCCAUCACAUAAAAAGUCACUGAAAAGAUUUGCUAAUUGCAAUUUCAGUGCCUUCUUCCCGCUUCUGGUUAGAAGAAUCCAACUUGAGUUAUUUCGUCAGUUGGUAGGUGGAGUUAAGGUCUACUAGAUCAGAGAUGGGGUUUAUAAAAUUGUAUCUACCACAUUUGUACAUUCUUGUCAAAGCUUUUAUACGUAAAUAUGAAGCUAUACAAGAAUGUACAAAUGUGGUAGAUACAAUUUUAUAAACCCCAUCUCUAAUCUAGUAGACCUUAACUCCACCUACCAACUGACGAAAUAACUCAAGUUGGAUUCUUCUAACCAGAAGCGGGAAGAAGGCACUGAAAUUGCAAUUAGCAAAUCAAUUUCAGUGACUUUUUAUGUGAUGGAAACAAAAGAGAUGAAAGAACUAAGCCAAAGCACUUCCUUUUUUCUUUUUAUGUUCUUUUGUGAUUAAUACUACUCAUCCAAACAGCA
rnacentral:misc_RNA from 1 species